rfam:Oryza sativa Japonica Group DNA, chromosome 8, cultivar: Nipponbare, complete sequence.
AAUAAGUGCAGUUUUGCAUUUUUCAUAUCCAAUAUUUGACUGUUCGUCUUAUUUAAAAUGUUUUUAUGAUUAGUAUUUUUAUUGUUAUUGGAUGAUAAAACAUGAAUAGUACUUUAUGUGUGUAUUUUUUUUUCAUAAAUUUUUCAAAUAAGACGGAUGGUCAAACGUUAGACACAGAUAUCCACGGUUGCACUUAUU